AUUGAACGCUGGCGGCAGGCCUAACACAUGCCAGUCGAGCGAGCGGCGGACGGGUGAGUAAUGUAUGGGGACUGCCCGCUAGAGGGGGAUACCUCCUUGAAAAGGUGGCUAAUACCGCCUACUGUCGGCUAACCCCUAUAGCAUGAGCUCGUAGGUAAGGUAAUGGCUUACCUAGGCGACGAUCCCUAGCUGGUCUGAGAGGAUGAUCAGCCACACGGGGACGGAGACACGGCCCAGACUCCGACGGAGGCAGCAGUGGGGAAUAUUGCACAAGGGGCGCAAGCCUGAUGCAGCCAUGCCGCGUGUAUGAAGAAGGCCCUAGGGUUGUAAAGUACUUUCAGUCGGGAGGCGGUACCGACAGAAGAAGCACCGGCUAACUCCGUGCCAGCCGCCGCGGUAAUAC
rnacentral:rRNA from 1 species